rnacentral:rRNA from 1 species
AGUGAACGCUGGCGGUAGGCCUAACACAUGCAAGUCGAACGGCAGCACAGUAAGAGCUUGCUCUUACGGGUGGCGAGCGGCGGACGGGGGCGGAAUACACCGGAAUCCACUUUUUCGUGGGGGCUAACGCAGGGAAACUUACGCUAACACCACAUACGACCUACGGGUGAAAGCAGGCGUUCUUUUGACCUUGCGCGAUUGAAAGAGCCGAUGUCGGAUUAGCUAGAUGGCGGGGCAAAGGCGCACCAAGGCUACGAUCCGUAGCUGGUACGAGAGGAAGAUCAGACAGAUUGGAUCUGAGACAGAGUCCAGACUCCGAGAGUAAGCAACAGUGGAGAAUACUACAGGAUGCGGGAAAGGCGAAUCCUGGAAUAUCGCGUAAGUGAAGAAGGACUUAGGGUUGUAAAGCCCUGUUGUUCGGAAAGAAAAGCAGCAGGUUAAUCCCCCAUUGUAAUGACGGUACCCAAAGAAUAAGCACCGGCUAACUUCGUG